GGGUGAGUAACGCGUAAUCAACCUGCCCAUCAGAGGGGGACAACAGUUGGAAACGACUGCUAAUACCGCAUACGAUCCAAUCCCGGCAUCGGGACUGGAUGAAAGGUGGCCUCUAUUUAUAAGCUAUCACUGAAGGAGGGGAUUGCGUCUGAUUAGCUAGUUGGAGGGGUAACGGCCCACUAAGGCGAUGAUCAGUAGCCGGUCUGAGAGGAUGAACGGCCACAUUGGGACUGAGACACGGCCCAGACUCC
rnacentral:rRNA from 1 species